UUUGCAUUUUGCAUGAACAUUGAAAAUGUAAUCAAUAUAUUCUUUGGAAGGUAUGUUUUGUAGUAUAAGAUUUAAAGCAUUUAUAUGGAGAAAUCAAAGGAAUAUUUUAAAUAUUUUUCGUAAUAGUUCAAAGCUGUUUAGCUGUGCAGUGUUUUGCAGAGCAUCAAGUAUGGAAAAAGAGAAAGUUUUGGAAGCAAUAAAGCAAGCUAUUCCACCAUUGGUCGAGUCAAAGUACAAAGGACAGGCAGGGCGUAUAGGAGUUGUUGGAGGGUCAAAAGAGUAAGCUAU